rnacentral:rRNA from 1 species
AGUGAACGCUGGCGGCAGGCCUAAUACAUGCAAGUCGAACGGCAGCACAGUGGAGCUUGCUCCAUGGGUGGCGAGUGGCGGACGGGUGAGGAAUACAUGGGAAUCUGCCCAGUCGUGGGGGAUAACGUAUGGAAACGUACGCUAAUACCGCAUGCGCCCUUUGGGGGAAAGUCGGGACCGCAAGGCCUGACGCGAUUGGAUGAGCCCAUGUUCGAUUAGCUAGUUGGCGGGGUAACGGCCCACCAAGGCGACGAUCGAUAGCUGGUCUGAGAGGAUGAUCAGCCACACUGGAACUGAGACACGGUCCAGACUCCUACGGGAGGCAGCAGUAGGGAAUAUUGGACAAUGGGCGCAAGCCUGAUCCAGCCAUGCCGCGUGAGUGAAGAAGGCCCUCGGGUUGUAAAGCUCUUUGGUUGGGGAAGAAAAGCAGUUGGUUAAUACCCGAUUGUUCUGACGGUACCCAAAGAAUAAGCACCGGCUAACUUCGUGCCAG